UACGUAGGGGCUAGCGUUGUCCGGAAUCACUGGGCGUAAAGGGUGCGUAGGCGGGUCUUAAGUCAGGGGUGAAAUCCUGGAGCUCAACUCCAGAACUGCCCUUUGAUACUGAAGAUCUUGAGUUCGGGAGAGGUGAGUGGAACUGCGAGUGUAGAGGUGAAAUCGUAGAUAUUCGCAAGAACACCAGUGGCGAAGGCGGCUCACUGGCCCGGUACUGACGCUGAGGUGCGAAA
rnacentral:rRNA from 1 species